rnacentral:misc_RNA from 1 species
GGGGUCUUUGUUCAUUAGGUGAGUUGUGGAUGGAGCUUUGUUGUGAGUUUCUGGUGUUUUUUGUAUUAGGAAUUUUGGGAUUUAGUGUUGGGGGUUUUUUCUGAGUUUCGGUGUUAGAUUUGAUCUGCAUUGAUUGGAUAGAUAACCUUUGUUGGUUGUUAGAUUUGUGAAUCAAAUUUCGAGGGGUCUUUUUUUUUUUGUGGAUUUUGCAAUUUGAUUAAUUUUUUGG